rnacentral:rRNA from 1 species
UACGAGGGGGGCGAGCGUUGUUCGGAAUUAUUGGGCGUAAAGGGUGCGUAGGCGGUUCCGCAAGUCCUGUGUGAAAUCUUCGGGCUCAACUCGAAGUCUGCACGGGAAACUGCGGGGCUUGAGUGUGGGAGAGGUGAGUGGAAUUCCCGGUGUAGCGGUGAAAUGUGUAGAUAUCGGGAGGAACACCUGUGGCGAAAGCGGCUCACUGGACCAUAACUGACGCUGAUGCACGAAAGCUGGGGGAGCAAACAGG